rnacentral:rRNA from 1 species
AACCUGCCUUAUAGUGGGGGAUAGCCUUUCGAAAGGAAGACUAAUACCGCAUAAGAUUGUAGUAUCGCAUGAUAUAGCAAUUAAAGGAGCAAUUCGCUAUAAGAUGGACCCGCGUCGCAUUAGCUAGUUGGUGAGGUAAUGGCUCACCAAGGCGACGAUGCGUAGCCGACCUGAGAGGGUGAUCGGCCACAUUGGGACUGAGACACGGCCCAGACUCCUACGGGAGGCAGCAUG